rnacentral:rRNA from 1 species
AGACGAUGGCGGAGGCUUAACACAUGCAAGUCGAACGAUAUAGUGGCAGACGGGUGAGUAACGCGUGGAAACGUGCCUUUCACUACGGAAUAGCUUUUGGAAACGAAAGGUAAUACCGUAUACGCCCUCCGGGGGAAAGAUUUAUCGGUGAAAGAUCGGUCCGCGUUAGAUUAGCUAGUUGGUAAGGUAACGGCUUACCAAGGCUACGAUCUAUAGCUGGUCUGAGAGGAUGAUCAGCCACACUGGGACUGAGACACGGCCCAGACUCCUACGGGAGGCAGCAGUGGGGAAUAUUGCACAAUGGGCGCAAGCCUGAUGCAGCCAUGCCGCGUGAAUGAUGAAGGCCUUAGGGUUGUAAAAUUCUUUCGCCAGGGAUGAUAAUGACAGUACCUGGUAAAGAAGCCCCGGCUAACUUCGUGCCAGCAGCCGCGGUAAUACGAAGGGGGCUAGCGUUGUUCGGAAUUACUGGGCGUAAAGCGCACGUAGGCGGACUAUUAAGUCAGAUGUGAAAUCCCGAGGCUCAACCUCGGAACUGCAUUUGAAACUGGUAGUCUAGAGAUCAGGAGAGGUUAGUGGAAUACCGAGUGUAGAGGUGAAAUUCGUAGAUAUUCGGUGGAACACCAGUGGCGAAGGCGACUAACUGGACUGAUACUGACGCUGAGGUGCGAAAGUGUGGGGAGCAAACAGGAUUAGAUACCCUGUAGUCCACACCGUAAACGAUGAGUGCUAGUUGUCAGCAAGCAUGCCUGUUGGUGACGCAGCUAACGCAUUAAUCACUCCGGCCUGGGGGAGUACGGCCGCAAGGUUAAAACUCAAAAGAAUUGACGA